AAAAAACUCAAAUCCUCCGCCACUGCACUUUGUAAAACUUCUGGAAAGUUAUGUUGUGUUUCCCGCCCGUUUUCAGGCGCAGCAGAUAAGGACACCGGGAAUGGUGGCGAGUUGGAAGCGCCAAAGCUUUUAUACCAGAUUAUUUCAGAUGCAGGAAAAUCAGUUAUAAUGUGAGCGAAUGAUGCCGGAGCAGUCACGUACAUGCCUACUUGAUAAUAUAUAUAUAUAUCUAAACAGUAAAGAAAUACAUAUGUACACAAAAAACUGCCGUCAAAGUUUUUCUAAUUAAAUAUAUUUUUUACUCGUAAA